AAGAAGAAGAAGCUGCAGCAGCGAUGCGCUGAUAUGUAUGAUUCUAGGAGGGACAGGAAAGUAAUGAGAGAUAAUCGACGUCUGCAGAUCAUUAGAUUGGCUGAUCAACUUCUGGCUUCAUCAUUAGAGACUCCCCAGACUUGAUCAUCACUGUGACCGUUUGGGGAGAUGAUGCAUACGGCAGCGGGCUGGUCGACGGCUUUGUUGGAGACUGAGCGACCGUUGAAAACCCUUUAGUUUCCAUUAAAGAUCCAGAGAAAGGAGACUGCUUCUGCCCUACUAUACCAAGGUAAGAACAUUUAAACUAAACAUGACC